rnacentral:lncRNA from 1 species
CCUUCGAACCUUAGGUAGCAUCUCUUUACGAAAGCCCAAAAUAAUCCUUUCAUCUUCUUUAAUUAUCUUUUUUAUGAUUUUAAAUUUUAUCUUUUUUAAAUUUUUUUAGUGUUUAAAUUUAUAUAAAUAAAUAUCACCAGAUUUUUUAUAUUUUUAUUUUUAUUUUAUUUAGUGAAAUAGGGAAGAUUUGGAGUGGAGUGGAAGUUAUGGAAAACAUUAAUAGUUGAAUUGAGAAUGAUGAAAAAUAAGAUGGCUGAAAUGUUAAGAAAGACAAAUGGAGUGCCUGGAGUAGAAAUGAUGAAGAAGGUUGGGGAUUUAAUUGGGAAAAAUGACAGGCUGCAUGAUUAAAAUGUGAAUCAGGGACAGUUGGGUGGUGGAGUUGUGAAGAAGGAAACUAUAUGAGGUUUGAAUUAAAAAAUCGGAGGGAUGGUAUGUGUUAAAUUACAGAAGAAGGAUGGAUCAAAUCUCA